UAAUCUCUGUAGAGUCUGCAUAUCAAUAAGCGGAGGAAAAGAAACUAACAAGGAUUCCCCUAGUAACGGCGAGUGAAGCGGGAAGAGCUCAAAUUUGAAAUCUUCAAGGUUCUGACCUUGACGAAUUGUAGUUUAAAGAAGUGUUUUCGGUUAGAGGAGUAGUAAAAGUUCUUUGGAAUAGGACAUCAUAGAGGGUGAGAAUCCCGUAUUUGACUAUUCUUUCUAGCUUUGUGAUACACUUUCAAAGAGUCGGAUUGUUUGGGAAUGCAGUCCAAAAUGGGUGGUAAAUUUCAUCUAAAGCUAAAUAUUGGCGAGAGACCGAUAGCGAACAAGUACCGUGAGGGAAAGAUGAAAAGAACUUUGAAAAGAGAGUUAAACAGUACGUGAAAUUGUCAAAAGGGAAGCGUUUGACACCAGUGUUGUUUUUUCCGAAAAUCAAUUAAAAAUUGAUUCAUGCCAGGUUGUAUUGACCUUAUCAGCUUGCAAUUUGGUUUUGGGUCUCUUUUUGAUGCACUUUUCGGUUAACAAGUCAACAUCAAUUUCCUUUGCUGUAAAAAGGUAAGAGGAAGGUGGCUUCAAUUUCGGUUGAAGUGUUUAUAGCCUUUUAUCUCUGCAGUCGGGGAGAUUGAGGUCUGCAGCGUAGAUCCUUCGGGGCUAGAUACAUUUAUGCUAAGUUAUAGCUUUUCAUAGACAACUUGUUGACUAUGUUUAGUCAUGUAGCUUACUCGUAAGUGCUAUUUUACCUACGCUUAGGAUGUUGAGCGCAUGUCUCUCUCU
rnacentral:rRNA from 1 species